rnacentral:tRNA from 2 species
GGAGAGAUGCCAGAGUGGCCGAUCGGGGCGGUCUCGAAAACCGUUAUCCGCGCAAGCGGAUCCAGGGUUCGAAUCCCUGUCUCUCCGCCA